AGAGUCAGCUUGCUUCAUAACGCAGUAAACGAACUUCUCGCAUUUACAUUCAAAGACGCUAUUUCAUUCCACGCGGUGUAGUAUUAUAAGGAUUCAGAGUAAAUUUUCCUUCUCUUCGUGUCCUCCAGUCCACGAAAUGUCGUCGAUAGAUAAAGUACAACGUAGACAACAAUAUAGUCCCGUCCAGAGACAAGACAGCGUCUACGACCCAGUAUCCCUGUAAAUGGGAGCAUCAUGGCGCCGCUGUGUCCUACUCGCUGAGAAAAACAAAUCAUUCCGAAGACAGUAUCAAGGACGAGGGUGCGUAAAGCGUAAACAGGAAGCGGAAGAUGGACUAACGGACUUUCGCAUAAGUUCAAAUAACGUUUGACAAAGGAAAAUUGUAAAUCCAUUCACAGGCUUUUGGUAUGACCGUACAUGCGUGUGCAAGACGAAUUGGAUUUGGACUGAAUCCAAAAAAAUGGAGUCGACAUGUAAUGAGCUCGUAAAGGACGAGAAGUGGAGAAUCGGGGAGAUGAAAGGAAUGUGGCAAGAAAUCAGGCGGUGAGGGAGAUUUCGAAAGAGCCACGUGUCGCUCCUGACAGACACGGGAAAUCAUUUUGCACCAGUCAGCCGAAGCAUAACAACGCACACGUAUAGCCGUAUCGUGCUGUAAACUUUUGGCAAGGAUAAUGCAACGGUUCAUCAAACAUGUCAUCACGCUCGAAGAUGCGUAAAUCCUGGACGCCUCUUCAACGAGCACACGUCGCAUUUAUGAAGCAUGAACGCGUGAUUAGAGUCAAUACACCGAUGAAAAAAUGUGAUCGGGUCAAGAAGAAAGAAAUAGAAGUGAUAUUUGUCCGCGUUAAAGAAAGAGGACACAGCCCACGCACGUCGGAGGGUCCCUAUAUUCACUUAACGCAGCAUCCAUUCUCCGAGUCUGACACGCGGUAAAUUUUCAAACGUUCCCGACUGAAUUACUUUCCGGGAACGAGGAAGGCAAAUAAAGAAGAAAAUUAAUCAAACUCACCUAAGUACCCAGUCGAUCGUGACUUUUACCAGGAGAAGCAGAUAAAAAAAAGAGAACCUAGAAACAAGAUCAGCAGCACCUUAAGGGUUACCGUGUUCCAGUUGCCUAAGGCCAACUGCAACUUUAGCUCCAGAUGCAAUCUGACUGAUUACCUACAUGGAAUAAUUUCCUAAAGCCAUUUUUACUCGCGGCAACCUCAAAAGAAGCACUUGGCUGGUACCUAGUCCGCAUGAAUGAACGCAGACCUCACACGCUCGGCUUGCGAGUAUUUAUAGUGCAUCUACUACGAGAAGGCGCUCAUAAGGGACCUGGUGAUUAAUCGGUGCAUCGGUGAAUGGUGGAUGCAUCUACUGUGAUGAUGCACUCCCCGUACUCCUUCUCAGCUGCUCAGCCGUUGGCCGCUUGUCUCUUGUCUUCUUGGGUCUGGAAAUCGCUCGAGCCUCUUCCGCGCGCAGCACGAUCAAAGUGGCAGGAAGCGUUUUCUACACAGUGGGUGUAAAUCUUGCAGCAUCGUGACGAAAGACGUCGGCUUCCUUAAGAUCGGACGGCUGGACCAAUGAGGAUACUCUUCGUUUCCUCUGUACCCAUAACUUUUCUAUUAUUUUCAUUUAUACAAUUUUUCAUGCGACUCUGCGAUACAGUAUUAAAUUAUAUUAAGUUCAGUUUAAAUUACAUUACAUUAUUCGACUGUAACUUCUUACAUUGUUAUUUAUAGUUUGAUUAUUUGCAUGGUGUAAAUUCCACAAAAAUACCCUUCGUACAAUUAAGUACUGACGUGCCUGAUUAUUGUUCUUGGCAGCAGAUAAUUUUACCAGAUAAUACCAGACUUUUGCCAGAUAAUUUUGCAUUGUUACUCAUUCGCCAAUUGCAUUGAUCGACCUUGUUGACAGAGAUUAACUGACGUGUUAUUUAUAAUAUAAGGAGACAGCAUUGGCAAUUACUUUUUUUUUUAUGAUACUCGAUAUUUUAAUGGAAUACAUUUUUUACGCCACUUAUUAGUCACUGACAGUAACAGCCAGUACGCUUAGUUACAAUUGCAUGGGCGGAUAUUGCAAAUUCCAUCGUUUUAGAUGCUUAUUUAGUUGACCUUCAAGUCUAUUUAGAAUGAACCGCAUGUGCGAUGCCAAGAUCUUUUUUUAUCACAGGAAAUAGAUAUAGACAGUACAGGGUGGAAACGUAUGCUCGACGUAAGUGCACUUAAAAAUUUCCAUCGUUAAACUUUAUCAUGGAUAUUACUAUACAUAGCAUUUUGAUAAUAUUCAAAAAUUCGUACAUCUCCCUCUGCAAUCUUAUAACUCACUGUGUAAUUUAAAAUUUUCAAUCGUUCUACCAAUUUUAAUAUCUAACAUUUUUUCAUAUCAAACGAGUCUCCGGUUUAUUUACUUAACGCUGUUCCAGUAGGAAGCUGAUACCCCUGGUCCAGCUACAAGAGACACCCAUCCGCGGAGCAUCGAACACAAGUGGCCAAGCAGCUCGACUGGAAUAAUUGGGCGAAAAAGGGCCGCCUCUCCUCCAAAGGCUCUUACGGCUCUACGUUCUUGAGCCUCUCUUGGCUCUUGAGUCUUCGAUGCAUGAUUUAGCCCAUGUCCCAUUUGGAUGCAAAGCGGCUCGUCAGACGACGCCAAGGGAUACGCAGUCUCCACCUUUACCACGUAGGAGCGCCGCGACGCCCAAUUACCUGUCACGUGACACCUUGGGAGUCGAAAUGGCAUUUGCGAUAAGAAAAUAUAAAAUACCUUGAUUCUGGUUUCAGAAGAAUCAUCCGCGCGCCACGGUUACAUGGACGCAUGCCUUCAGUCAACCGUGCGUAUCGACGACUCGGUGCAUCUGGCAUCUGAUGCGGCAUUCGAGCAAGAUUAUUUUUAACUGGCUAGACGGCUAUUUACGUGUAUUCACGAUAUACGCUUGAGAGACGAGAAGAAGAAAAUGUAUGACGAUUCGUGGAUGAAGCGCGAAGAGGAGAUGGCGGAAAAUAAAAUUUCAUCUGUGGGUGUUCGACGGAGUGGGGAAAAAUGUAAAUUGAAAAAUUGUUCUGUCUGAUUCAAUAAUCGGAUCGGUCAAUUUUUUAAUUGCUACUGGGCUUUUUCUUUACCGGGCAUUCAUUGGUCAAUCAUAGGUGUGUUAGGUACUGUUACACUUUUUCAUAUAUUUGCUGGUUAGUGGUAACCAUGGUAACCAUUAUAUUCAUUAGUUUCAACGAUUAAAUUAGACUCACCUGACUCACUUUUAUUGGUAUAUCAGGGUAACUUCGUUCUGAGCAUGAUGAAGGAUGCGUUAACGUGAUUAGCAUCGUGGACAAAGUUUUUUUAGUUAUAUUACGUAAACUCUUCCGUGAUAUUUUGGUUGGAUUCGGAAGGUGAUUUAAUUUAUAAUUUUCCGAUUCGGGAGACUCGGUGUGGAUCGUUAGAAUCCAUAGGAAUGAACGAAGUCAUAGGUUCGUUUAGUAUAGUUUUAA